rnacentral:rRNA from 1 species
GGGUUGUGAGGUUAAGCGACUAAGCGUACACGGUGGAUGCCCUGGCAGUCAGAGGCGAUGAAGGGCGUGCUAAUCUGCGAUAAGCGCCGGUAAGGUGAUAUGAACCGUUAUAACCGGCGAUACCCGAAUGGGGAAACCCAGUGUGACUCGUCACACUAUCAUUAACUGAAUCCAUAGGUUAAUGAGGCGAACCGGGGGAACUGAAACAUCUAAGUACCCCGAGGAAAAGAAAUCAACCGAGAUUCCCCCAGUAGCGGCGAGCGAACGGGGAGGAGCCCAGAGCCUGAAUCAGCAUGUGUGUUAGUGGAAGCGUCUGGAAAGGCGCGCGAUACAGGGUGACAGCCCCGUACACAAAAGCGCAUGUGCUGUGAGCUCGAUGAGUAGGGCGGGACACGUGGUAUCCUGUCUGAAUAUGGGGGGACCAUCCUCCAAGGCUAAAUACUCCUGACUGACCGAUAGUGAACCAGUACCGUGAGGGAAAGGCGAAAAGAACCCCGGCGAGGGGAGUGAAAAAGAACCUGAAACCGUGUACGUACAAGCAGUGGGAGCACAGGUUUACCUGUGUGACUGCGUACCUUUUGUAUAAUGGGUCAGCGACUUAUAUUCUGUAGCAAGGUUAACCGAAUAGGGGAGCCGGAGGGAAACCGAGUCUUAAUUGGGCGUUAAGUUGCAGGGUAUAGACCCGAAACCCGGUGAUCUAGCCAUGGGCAGGUUGAAGGUUGGGUAACACUAACUGGAGGACCGAACCGACUAAUGUUGAAAAAUUAGCGGAUGACCUGUGGCUGGGGGUGAAAGGCCAAUCAAACCGGGAGAUAGCUGGUUCUCCCCGAAAGCUAUUUAGGUAGCGCCUCGUGAAUUCAUCUCCGGGGGUAGAGCACUGUUUCGGCUAGGGGGCCAUCCCGGCUUACCAACCCGAUGCAAACUGCGAAUACCGGAGAAUGUUAUCACGGGAGACACACGGCGGGUGCUAACGUCCGUCGUGAAGAGGGAAACAACCCAGACCGCCAGCUAAGGUCCCAAAGUCAUGGUUAAGUGGGAAACGAUGUGGGAAGGCCCAGACAGCCAGGAUGUUGGCUUAGAAGCAGCCAUCAUUUAAAGAAAGCGUAAUAGCUCACUGGUCGAGUCGGCCUGCGCGGAAGAUGUAACGGGGCUAAACCAUGCACCGAAGCUGCGGCAGCGAACGUAUCACUUAAAGCGAUUCAGCGGGUUACGAUUGACGGAGCGAAGCGACGUCAAAGCGUAUACAAAGUCGAGUCGGUUUAAGGAUACGUUCGUUGGGUAGGGGAGCGUUCUGUAAGCCUGCGAAGGUGGCCUGUGAGGGUUGCUGGAGGUAUCAGAAGUGCGAAUGCUGACAUAAGUAACGAUAAAGCGGGUGAAAAGCCCGCUCGCCGGAAGACCAAGGGUUCCUGUCCAACGUUAAUCGGGGCAGGGUGAGUCGACCCCUAAGGCGAGGCCGAAAGGCGUAGUCGAUGGGAAACGGGUUAAUAUUCCCGUACUUGGUGUUACUGCGAAGGGGGGACGGAGAAGGCUAUGUUGGCCGGGCGACGGUUGUCCCGGUUUAAGCGUGUAGGUGUGUGUUCCAGGUAAAUCCGGUUCACUUUAACACUGAGGCGUGACGACGAGGCACUACGGUGCUGAAGCAACAAAUGCCCUGCUUCCAGGAAAAGCCUCUAAGCAUCAGGUAACAUCAAAUCGUACCCCAAACCGACACAGGUGGUCAGGUAGAGAAUACCAAGGCGCUUGAGAGAACUCGGGUGAAGGAACUAGGCAAAAUGGUGCCGUAACUUCGGGAGAAGGCACGCUGACACGUAGGUGAAGUGAUUUACUCACGGAGCUGAAGUCAGUCGAAGAUACCAGCUGGCUGCAACUGUUUAUUAAAAACACAGCACUGUGCAAACACGAAAGUGGACGUAUACGGUGUGACGCCUGCCCGGUGCCGGAAGGUUAAUUGAUGGGGUCAGCGCAAGCGAAGCUCCUGAUCGAAGCCCCGGUAAACGGCGGCCGUAACUAUAACGGUCCUAAGGUAGCGAAAUUCCUUGUCGGGUAAGUUCCGACCUGCACGAAUGGCGUAAUGAUGGCCAGGCUGUCUCCACCCGAGACUCAGUGAAAUUGAACUCGCUGUGAAGAUGCAGUGUACCCGCGGCAAGACGGAAAGACCCCGUGAACCUUUACUAUAGCUUGACACUGAACAUUGAGCCUUGAUGUGUAGGAUAGGUGGGAGGCUUUGAAGUGUGGACGCCAGUCUGCAUGGAGCCGACCUUGAAAUACCACCCUUUAAUGUUUGAUGUUCUAACGUGGACCCGUGAUCCGGGUUGCGGACAGUGUCUGGUGGGUAGUUUGACUGGGGCGGUCUCCUCCUAAAGAGUAACGGAGGAGCACGAAGGUUGGCUAAUCCUGGUCGGACAUCAGGAGGUUAGUGCAAUGGCAUAAGCCAGCUUGACUGCGAGCGUGACGGCGCGAGCAGGUGCGAAAGCAGGUCAUAGUGAUCCGGUGGUUCUGAAUGGAAGGGCCAUCGCUCAACGGAUAAAAGGUACUCCGGGGAUAACAGGCUGAUACCGCCCAAGAGUUCAUAUCGACGGCGGUGUUUGGCACCUCGAUGUCGGCUCAUCACAUCCUGGGGCUGAAGUAGGUCCCAAGGGUAUGGCUGUUCGCCAUUUAAAGUGGUACGCGAGCUGGGUUUAGAACGUCGUGAGACAGUUCGGUCCCUAUCUGCCGUGGGCGCUGGAGAACUGAGGGGGGCUGCUCCUAGUACGAGAGGACCGGAGUGGACGCAUCACUGGUGUUCGGGUUGUCAUGCCAAUGGCACUGCCCGGUAGCUAAAUGCGGAAGAGAUAAGUGCUGAAAGCAUCUAAGCACGAAACUUGCCCCGAGAUGAGUUCUCCCUGAGACUUAGAGUCUCCUGAAGGAACGUUGAAGACGACGACGUUGAUAGGCCGGGUGUGUAAGCGCAGCGAUGCGUUGAGCUAACCGGUACUAAUGAACCGUGAGGCUUAACCUUACAACGCCGAAG